rnacentral:rRNA from 1 species
GUGGGGAAUUUUGGACAAUGGGCGCAAGCCUGAUCCAGCAAUGCCGCGUGCAGGAAGAAGGCCUUCGGGUUGUAAACUGCUUUUGUACGGAACGAAACGGUCCGGGUUAAUACCCUGGGCUAAUGACGUUACCGACAGAAUAAGCACCGGCUAACUUCGUGCCAGCAGCCGCGGUAAUACGAAGGGUGCAAGCGUUAAUCGGAAUUACUGGGCGUAAAGCGCGCGUAGGUGGUUUGGUAAGUUGGAGGUGAAAUCCCCGGGCUCAACCUGGGAAGUGCGCUUGUGACUGCAAGGCUGGAGUGCGGCAGAGGGGGAUGGAAUUCCGCGUGUAGCAGUGAAAUGCGUAGAUAUGCGGAGGAACACCGAUGGCGAAGGCAAUCCCCUGGGCCUGCACUGACGCUCAUGCACGAAAGCGUGGGGAGCAAACAGGAUUAGAUACCCCGGUAGUCC